rnacentral:rRNA from 1 species
UACGUAGGGGGCGAGCGUUGUCCGAAGUUACUGGGCGUAAAGGGCGCGUAGGCGGCUACUUAAGUUUGGGGUGAAAGGUUCAACGCUCAACGUGAACAGUGCCUCGGAACCUGGGUGGCUUGAGUUGGGGAGAGGACAGUGGAAUUCCUGGUGUAGCGGUGAAAUGCGUAGAGAUCAGGAGGAACCCCGGUGGCGAAGGCGACUGUCUGGCCUGCAACUGACGCUGAGAUACGAAAGCUAGGGGAGCAAACAGG